AAGGAAGCAUGUAUAGGGGGUACAUAUGGUGGCAGUUGUAUGCUCAGCAGAAGAAGCACCAGGGAGGUGAAGGUCACGUUGACAGCAUGAACCUUCGAUGUGAUGUGAGGAAAAUGGCAUUCUACCUCUGUGUUCUUCCUCCCCAAAAUUUGUAACCACCAUCUAAUCAUGAGGAAAACAUCAUACAAGUCCAAAUUGAGGAAGAUUCUACAAAAUGCCUGAUUAAUAUUCAUCGAAACUGUCAAGGUCAUCAAAAGCAAGGAAAGUCUGAGAAACUGCCACAGCCUAAAGACAAUCCAGGGAAACGUGAUGACUCAGUGGUAUUCGGGGUGGGUUUCUGGAACAGCAAAAGGACAACAGUGUUAACAUCUGGGCCAAACAUCUGGGCAGCAACAUCAGAAAGCCCCUCUGCUGUGCUUCAGGAUCACUCUUAUCACUGCAUAAAGGGUAUGCUACAUUUUUGCAGAAAGUCAGGAGGUUUAGAAACCACACAGAGAAACAUUGCUUGGAAAGGGGAACUCUUCAAUCGUCUAAGAUUACAGAUCUUGGAAUUGGAAUGGUACCCUGAGCCACUAUCUAAAUUGUCUGCUUACCUUAUGAAGACACCAUAAGGAGGUAUAACGUGUGGUGAGCACAGGUGAAGAGCUAGAGGCCUGAAACUAGAUGGGGAGGGAGAAGCCAGCCAUGCCUGCAUCCAGGGCUGCACUCAGCCUCCCAGCAUCUGUGCAGAGGCAUCAGUCAAGCCACAGCUAACUGCAGUCCCAGCUAACAUUAUGUGGAACAUCCCAGUCAUCCCAGAUCAUCCCAGUCAACCAAGAUCAUAAAAUUGUUUUCAGCUAUUAAGUUUAAAUAUGUGAAAUAAGGAGAUAAAAAUACUGACUUGGACUCUGUCUGAAUGAAAGGAUUAGUAGAUUAGAUUAGUGAUUCUUAAAAGACUUUCUUGGAUGCAUAUAAGUGUCCACAAAAUAAGAGUAUGAUGGUUUCCAGGUACAAAUAAGAUGGAAAACUAUUUUGUGAAUCAGAAUUAAAUUGGUUUAUUUACUGUAGAACUUCUAAGAGGCUUUAACAUGUACAUUUAAUUAUCAUAAGCCUUAUGAAAACUCCAGGAGGACAGAAGAGUUGCCUGUGACUUUUUUUAAAGUGUUUAUUCACAUCCCAAGGAAGGAUUCCCAGAAGAGAUGAUGCCUAAGCAGUGUCCCAACCAUGAAAUAAAGUCUCCUAGCUACUGGACAAGAUCAUCUCGAAGCUUAUUUCCAGCUCCAAAUGUUAUUAUUUUCCUCAAACCCAUUAUAAAAUGGCCUCUCUUAGCACUAUGAGAUCUGUAAUACAAGAAGUAGAACAAACACAUGAAGUUCCUGUUGGAAAUUCAAACUUCUCAUACAGCCUUCACUGAGUUCUACUCAUUAUGGAUAAAGGCUUCUGCUUUGAGUCACCUAAGUACUUUUGACCCCCAACUUAAUCAAUGCCUUGAAGUGAAAAUACAGUGUCAGGCAGUCCCUAUUCAUGACACAAACAAACCAACCAACUCAUAUCAUGACUUAAUGGUGUGAGACCUCAGUAAAAACUUUAUAUGAACUAAAUUUGUCUCAUUUGUAUCUUCUCAUACCUGUCACAGAAUUUCCUCUGUCCAAUGACACUGGUCCUUCGAUAGUCUUAGCUGUCUUUUCCUUCUUAAACUAACAAAAAUAAAAGUGAAAGAAAC
ensembl:lncRNA LINC01277 long intergenic non-protein coding RNA 1277